ACCGAGGUGCUGGAACUGGUAGACAGGCAUGGUUGAGGGCCAUGUGUUCUUAUGAACGUGUGGGUUCGACUCCCAUUCUCGGUA
rnacentral:tRNA from 1 species